UACGGGGGGGGCAAGCGUUGUUCGGAAUUACUGGGCGUAAAGGGCUCGUAGGCGGCCAACUAAGUCGGAUGUGAAAUCCCCAGGCUUAACCUGGGAACUGCAUCCGAUACUGGAUGGCUUGAAUCCGGGAGAGGGAUGCAGAAUUCCAGGUGUAGCGGUGAAAUGCGUAGAGAUGUGGAGGAACACCAAUGGCGAAGGCAGCCUUCUGGGCCAACACUGACGCUCAUGCACGAAAGCGUGGGGAGCAAACGGG
rnacentral:rRNA from 1 species